rnacentral:rRNA from 1 species
GGGGAAUUUUCCGCAAUGGGCGAAAGCCUGACGGAGCAAUACCGCGUGAGGGAUGACGGCCUAUGGGUUGUAAACCUCUUUUUUCAGGGAGGAAUCAAAUGACGUGUACCCUGAAGAAUAAGCAUCGGCUAACUCCGUGCCAGCAGCCGCGGUAAGANCGGAGGAUGCAAGUGUUAUCCGGAAUCACUGGGCGUAAAGCGUCUGUAGGUGGUCCAAUAAGUCAACUGUUAAAUCUUGAGGCUCAACCUCAAAACCGCAGUCGAAACUAUUAGANCUAGAGUAUAGUAGGGGUAAAGGGAAUUUCCAGUGGAGCGGUGAAAUGCGUAGAGAUUGGAAAGUACACCGAUGGCGAAGGCACUUUACUGGGCUAUGACUGACACUCAGAGACGAAAGCUAGGGUAGCAAAUGGGAUUAGAUACCCCAGUAGUC